rnacentral:rRNA from 1 species
UACGGAGGGUGCAAGCGUUAUCCGGAUUCACUGGGUUUAAAGGGUGCGUAGGCGGUCAGGUAAGUCCGUGGUGAAAUCUCUGAGCUUAACUCAGAAACUGCCAUGGAUACUAUUUGUCUUGAAUAUUGUGGAGGUAAGCGGAAUAUGUCAUGUAGCGGUGAAAUGCUUAGAUAUGACAUAGAACACCAAUUGCGAAGGCAGCUUACUACACAGUUAUUGACGCUGAGGCACGAAAGCGUGGGGAUCAAACAGG